CCUACGGGUGUCUGCAGUGAGGAAUAUUGGUCAAUGGGCGCGAGCCUGAACCAGCCAAGUAGCGUGAAGGAUGACUGCCCUACGGGUUGUAAACUUCUUUUAUAAAGGAAUAAAGUGAGGCACGUGUGCCUUUUUGUAUGUACUUUAUGAAUAAGGAUAGGCUAACUCCGUGCCAGCAGCCGCGGUAAUACGGAGGAUCCGAGCGUUAUCCGGAUGUAUUGGGUUGAAAGGGAGCGUCGUUGGGUUGUUAAGGCUGGUGUGAAAGUUUGCGGCUCAACCGUAAAAUUGCAAUUGAUACUGGCAGCCUUGAGUUCAGUUGAGGUAGGCUGAAUUCGUGGUGUAGCGG
rnacentral:rRNA from 1 species